UUAAUUUAAAAUUUGUUCUUUAGAAUUAAAAGUGAUCUUCAAAUUAAAAAAGUUUGGCGGUAUUUAAGUCUGAUCAGAGGAAAUUGCAGUUUAAUCGAUGGUCCCCGAGAAUCUUUCCUUAAUUUGUAUUUCAGCUUAUAUACCGUUGUCUUCAAAUUGCGCUAGAAGGUGUUUUUUAAGAAAUUUUUGUAAGUCAAAUCAAGGUGUAGUUUAUAUUAGGGUUACUGUGAUUUACAAUAAUAGUAAUUAAACGGAUAUUGAAAUGUAAUUUUUAAUUGAAGGUGGAUUUGAUUGUAAAUUUUGUUUAUUAUAUUUUUUUGGAUAAGUGCUUAUAUAUGU
rnacentral:rRNA from 1 species